rnacentral:rRNA from 1 species
AGUCGUAACAAGGUUUCCGUAGGUGAACCUGCGGAAGGAUCAUUACAGUAGUCGCCCGGGUUGCCGCAAGGCCUCCCGGGUAACCUACCACCCUUUGUUUAUUACACUUUGUUGCUUUGGCAGGCCUGCCCUCGGGCUGCUGGCUCCGGCCGGCGAGCGCCUGCCAGAGGACCUAAACUCUGUUUGUCUAUACUGUCUGAGUACUAUAUAAUAGUUAAAACUUUCAACAACGGAUCUCUUGGUUCUGGCAUCGAUGAAGAACGCAGCGAAAUGCGAUAAGUAAUGUGAAUUGCAGAAUUCAGUGAAUCAUCGAAUCUUUGAACGCACAUUGCGCCCCCUGGUAUUCCGGGGGGCAUGCCUGUCCGAGCGUCAUUACAACCCUCAAGCUCAGCUUGGUAUUGGGCCCCGCCGCUCCGGCGGGCCCUAAAGUCAGUGGCGGUGCCGUCCGGCUCCGAGCGUAGUAAUUCUUCUCGCUCUGGAGGUCCGGUCGUGUGCUCGCCAGCAACCCCCAAUUUUUUUCAGGUUGACCUCGGAUCAGGUAGGGAUACCCGCUGAACUUAAGCAUAUCAAUAAGCCGGAG